GUGCUAGCAAACGCCCCCACAAUUCCUCCAAUUUUGGUCUCAUUUAUUAAUGCUAUACUUAAGAGUAUGUUAAUAGCACGCAAGGAAGUCGUAGGGAAAAUGGCGAAUGCCCUGCCUACCCCCCCCCAGUCAGAUGCUAAUUGAUGCCUGGGAGGCCACACUGAAGAUGAGCGGCUCGGAGGCUGCCAGCUAAAAUACUUUAGCUCCUGCCAGUGCCCGCGUGAUUUCUUUGUGCUGACGGUGCAAAACUGAAUAAUGGCAAGAGCUCUCGGUGAUUUUUCAGAACUGCUUUCCAGGAACAAUCAGAUUCAAAUGAAAACAUCAGAGCGUCCGGAUGAAUGUUCUGCUAGCACUUGUGAGUCCACAAAUACUUGAAUGGAACAGGACAAGUAUCCAUUGAAUACUAUGAUGUGAUCAAAGCCCAAGAUCUUGUUGACUGAUUUGAUGGUUUCAAAUCAGUAUUUGAGCACAUUGAACAUGCAGGAUUGAGGAGCUCUUAAUUGCCAUGUGCUAUAUGCUAAAGGAUAUUGUGGAAUCAUUGCAUCUGCAUCAUGAGACAAGUGUGUGGAUGGUGACUGGAAAAGAACGAAAAAAAUAUAAAAUGAAGCUUUUUUUAUAUCAUUCUGGAAAUGCUGAGACAUAAAAAUGUUCAUGCAUUUAGACAAAA